rnacentral:rRNA from 1 species
UACGGAGGGUGCGAGCGUUGUCCGGAAUCACUGGGCGUAAAGGGCGCGUAGGCGGCGCGGAAAGUCAACGGUGAAAGCUCGGGGCUCAACCCCGAGUCGGCCGUCGAUACUUCUGUGCUUGAGCACUGUAGAGGCAGGUGGAAUUCCGGGUGUAGCGGUGGAAUGCGUAGAGAUCCGGAAGAACACCGGUGGCGAAGGCGGCUCUCUGGACCGAUACUGACGCUGAGGCGCGAAAAGCGUGGGGGAGCAAACAGG